GGACUGGAUGCCGACUGUCCCACUGGGUGUGACCUGGAGGCGCACUUUGAGGGACCUCUCCUCUCUCCAUCUCUCCUUGCAUACUUUUGUGAUGGGAACGCAGCACCUCGACACACAGAGAGAGCACGAGGGCUGCAGGCCCAGGGCUGUGCCGACUGGAAGCGCGUGUUCUGAAUGGACCGGAAGCUGGGCUCGCUGGGCGGCACAUCACGAAGACGAGGUUCUCCCCUCAGGCUCCCCAAGCCUGCGGGUCCCAACCGGGGAGGCCAGUGACUUGGGGGUUACUGAGCUGGGGGUCCCUGGGGCCAGGCUGAAGGCUCAGUCUGUCAAGCAUUGUGCGUGGGCACAGUGAGAGAACAGGGCUCCAUCUCUGUUUUCUUGUGUGGAUUUGUGGACUUGUGUGGAUUUCUGCACUGCAACAGGCUGCAGAGUCAGUGUCACUGCUCCAGGUGGCCUUGUCAAGCUCGGCACAAUAUUCUUGCCCUCCACACUGCUUCUGCCAGGCAGUGAAAUCACACAGAACCCGACUCUGCCUGCAGGUGAUCACAGGCUGCAGCCCUGAUGUCCGCCUCAGCUUUCAGAGACCGCUCACCAGCACCCGCUUCUGAACCACGCAAAUGACCCCCG
rnacentral:lncRNA from 1 species